rnacentral:lncRNA from 1 species
UCUCUGUUCCUUUGUAUAUUGAUAUAUUUAGGAAUAUUUUUUUCUUUUUCGCUAACAUAAGGAAUGAGCCAACACAUAAAUUUAAGUUUACACAGCCUUUUUUUUUUCUUAAAGCCAUGCUCCUAUGUAAUGAAUAUGUGAUAAACAAGGCAGUUGUAUAGCUGUUUUGCUUGAGGUGAAAAACAUAAUUUUACUGUAGAAAAAAUAAUGAAAAUGAAAAUUCAGUUCACAAAACUAUAGCAGGACUCUCAGUCCAAAAUAUACUAUCUAGGCAAUAGGAUAAGCUACCAAACCUGGAAAAAUGGUGUAAUAGUACCUAUGAGACUGCAUUCUGAAUAUUUUUUUUUCUGUAUAAAGUGACAUUCUAAUAUUUUGAUUACUUAAGAGGUUAAAGAAAUUUAUUAAUAUCCACUAACAUAGAGAGGAGGUUCAGUAAAUGUGUCUUUUUUUCCCUUUUCUACUGUGCCCUGACUGCCUACUCGUCAAAGGAAAUGCAGAGAAUUGUAAACAAGUAUGCCUUCCAAAUAGUUGAAAGGAGUAGAGUAUAUUCAGUGAUCUAAAAACGAGCUAUUUCUUCGGAUCAUUGAAAUUAGUGUGUUAUCUUCCUUAUCUUCCUCAGAUAUGAAGUUAGUGUUUAGACAGUUUUUUUUCAAUUAGUCAAGGCUGGGUUUUGCUCCUAAAAAGAACAAUGCAAGAAAGCAUUACAGCUCUUUUAAUCCUCUCUUGAAUUAUAUGAUGCUCAGACUGUCAUGGAGAUCUUAAACCACCAGAUGGCGCUCGGCUUCUGUCUCAAAAAAGAUGCCAGUCGCUUGUUCUUCAGCCUCUACUUAUUACCAUUCAUUUUAAGGGAUGAAAAGCUGUAUGCAGAGAAAAAUCUUUGUUAGCACAAAGCCUCUGUAUUUGUGAGAGACAAAAUUACAUUCCGCGCUCAUUCAAAGACUAGUUUGUGAUCUUUGAAUUUUGCAAGUGAAUUCUGCAAGUUAACUCAAGGGAACAUGUAAAACAAAAAACAAACCCAAAUCCCUACAUUAACUGGUUAACUAGGCACACUCAUUUUCUUUCUAUCAGCCCAUUUAUGUUUUAUAUGGAAACGUGGAAAAGGUAGCUGAUAUUUUCAUGCAUUUUGAAGGAAGAAUGACUGAUUAUCUCUGCCUUGCUUGUUCGCAGAUUUUGUAAGCUGAGGAAAUGGAUACUACGGUUGUUUGUAAAACCGGAUCCAAACAAAGGAAGAGAGCCAAGAUGCUUUCCUAUAACGUUGACACAUGUACCCCACUCUAGAAAAAGGAUGAGACUGCAAAAGAAGGUUUUAGCCUAGCAUUUCAAUUCUAAAAUGGAUGGUCCUAUUUAAUUUUCCACACACAAUAUCUUUCCUCGCCAAAGAAUAGAUUAAUAUUACUAAUCUCACUUAUGUAGCAGCGUUAAAAGGCCGCAGCAAGGAUAUUUCUAAGGCAGAUUCAUUUCUGCUGGUAUAGAAAAUUCCCUACCCACACGGAAAGCGAUUGUGUUGGUAAUCUCAUGGUGUUGCUUUAGCGGGAGACUGGCGUCAUUCUUCGUUCCCCGUGAGCUGUAUAGACAGGCAUAAUGGAUGGAAUGAUGAGAGAAGCAAUGAUGAACUAAUACCCCAGAGGUUCUGAAACUAAUAACAAUGAAGGCUUUUUUUGUGGCCUUUUGGUUCCUGGAGUCGUGCUAUAAAAUGUGAUUUUGGAGUUGUGUGUUGACUGGUUGCCUGUGGAAGGUUAAAAGGAAGGGUUCCCUUAACUUCAGGAUUAAAAGAACAGGAAAAAGCAAGACAUGCAUUUGCUUGCACUUCAAUGAAGUGAAGUUAUGAACCGAAGAUAUACUAGAUUUCUAUAUAGGUAAAUGUGAGAUUCCCCCCCCAGCAUUUUAGUGCACAUUGGUUGCAGCUUUAGUAUUUGCAUUUUGUUUGUAAUUCGUUGUGGAAAGAGUAUACUUACAUCUUCAUGAUAUAUUAAGCUGCUUCUUCCAACAUGUUUGGAUUAAGCAUCAGUGAUGGCCUGAAAAAGUGCUUUUCUAUACUUUAGUAUCCUUGGAGGUGUUACUGGUAAGAAUAGACCCAAAGUAGGUAUUAUGAGCAAAUAUAAAUCAUGAUUAUACUUUAUCCUACUUUUUUUUAACCCAUUUUUAAACUCUCCCCAAGUGCCACCUUACAUGAGGCAAAAUACAGAGCACCCAGGAAAACAACAGGGAAUAAAAGCAGUUCCUUCUCACAAAGAGGCAGACAUGAAUACUACUAGUAAUGGUGCAACAUGGUAUGUGCUGUAAAAGAAUUGGAACAAUGGUCCUUGGCUGAAUUCUAGUGAUUAGCCCAGAGGUUUGAAUUAAAGAUGAACCCACUACCAAAAACAGGGAAAGUAUAAGCCAGGGAAAGUGCAGGCUUAUAAAGAAAGAGGAGGAGUUUCUUUUGUCACAGAGCUGAUUCCCCUUCUGACCAGCAGAGGAAUGAAGAACAGAGACAGGCAAGUUACAGAAGCCGGCCAGUGUGCUACUGCACUCACAUCCUGCUUUACGGCGUGGUUUAAAAAUUCAGUUUGGCUAAUUAUAUCCUUCCAGAUUGCAGAUAGUUUUACAUCCAAACAUCAGUGUAUGUAAAGGUUUUAAGGAAAAUAUCAAUACUUAAAACACUUGUCAGUUUAAUCAACCCAUGCAACCGUUCAGAAAAAUACUUGAGAAUUCACUACAUCUCACUACAGAUUUUUACCACCUAUAUCCCGAAACAGAAUCAUACACAUUUUAAUGAAAUGUUAAUAUAAGAAAAUUGAGAAAUGUAUAUAUUUUUGGUCUUUAUGAUGGAUACCUAACCAUACUCAAUAAUUUUAUGACUUAUUAUUAUAAAUAGGAAUUUUUUUAAAAAAAAUGAAGUAGCCAUCAUAAUGAGAACAUUCAAAUAAAUAUAUAAAUAUAAAUUUAUAAAUAUGUAUAAAGAGACACAGAGGGAGAGAGAGAAAGACACAGAAAGAGAAAGGGAAAAAGAGGGAGAGAGUUUAGUUCAUGAACUGGUUUGAAAUUUGCUCUCUGAUUUUGAUGUCACUUAUAUAUGCUCUUGUGUGAAAUACUUUCAAUAACCCUUAUUGGUAAAGUACUUGGAGAUCAUUGGUUGAAAAGUGCAAUUGACUGUGAGUGCAGGCUUCAGAACCUUACAAUUGAGCGUCAUCAUAAAUUUUAUCUUUGCUGGCAUAACUACAGAGAUUAUUUUUAUACAAAGAGGUAGCUUUUUCAUUUUGUAAACACUGUAGCUAGGUCCUUCAGUAAUGAAUCUUAGAUCAGUAGAGAGAUUGGCGACAACAAUAACAUUUAUGUGUGUAUAUACCAAUUUAUGUGUGUAUAUACUAUUUGAAUGCUUCUGUAGCUUUCCCCACUUGCCCUGGAAUACAAAAACACUAAUAUUUUGAAGUAACUCUUUAUAUGUCCUCUAUAUUUAUGAAAGAUUACAGGAGAUAAAAUCAUGCAGGUUUAUUUUAGAAAAAAGAAUGAUAUUUAUUUGAGAAAUCUUCCCUAGUAAUACAGAUUUCUAUCAACUUUUUAAUAUUAAGCAGGUAUUCUGAGAUGAUAGUAAAUUUAUCAGCCACAGGAAGGGGAGCUUUAUUGUUGUUGGGAAUGUUGUUUCAUCACCUAUCAG